CAGUUCAGACUGCAGGCUGCAACUCGCCUGCACGAAGUCGGAAUUGCUAGUAAUCGUAGGUCAGCAUACUACGGUGAAUACGUUCCCGGGCCUUGUACACACCGCCCGUCAAACCAUGUAGAGUUGGCAACACCCGAAGUCGGUAGUCUAACCGCAAGGAGGACGCCGCCGAAGGUGGGGUUGAUGAUUAGGGUUAAGUCGUAACAAGGUAAC
rnacentral:rRNA from 1 species